AAGAGCCCUGGAAAGCUCUC
rnacentral:siRNA from 1 species